UCAAGUUUAAAUUUAAAGGAAAGAGAGAGAGAAAGGGAGAGUAGAGAAAAAGAGAGAUUGAAUCAUGCAUAUAUUUACAGAGACAACAGCAACAACCAGUGCAAAAUACUCACUCUGAGAAGGGAGCGUCUCUGGAAUCAAUACCUGUGGCGGUGGAGGGGAGACAUAGAAUUGACCAGGAAGAAAUGUAGCUGUGAAGUAGGCUGGCAGCCCCAACCAAGCUCCCAGUACCAAACAAGUAUUGAUGACUGGACUGCUGCCAUCUGGAAGGAGAUCUCUGACUGCUAGCAUGCCCAUGUUUCCACCCUUGGCCAAGAAGAUUCAAGGCCUGAUCUCCAGUCCUCCCAUGGACAUAUACUCCAAUCCCAGCUUCACUUGAAUCUCCCACCACUCCAGGGCAGCAGGAGAUGACUAUUUCUGAGUGGUGGAG